rnacentral:rRNA from 1 species
AUUGAACGCUGGCGGCAUGCCUUACACAUGCAAGUCGAACGGUAACAGGUCUUCGGAUGCUGACGAGUGGCGAACGGGUGAGUAAUACAUCGGAACGUGCCCAGACGUGGGGGUUAACGAGGCGAAAGCUUUGCUAAUACCGCAUACGAUCUAAGGAUGAAAGCAGGUGACCGCAAGGCCUUGUGCGUUUGGAGCGGCCGAUGGCAGAUUAGGUAGUUGGUGGGAUAAAAGCUUACCAAGCCGACGAUCUGUAGCUGGUCUGAGAGGACGACCAGCCACACUGGGACUGAGACACGGCCCAGACUCCUACGGGAGGCAGCAGUGGGGAAUUUUGGACAAUGGGCGAAAGCCUGAUCCAGCAAUGCCGCGUGCAGGAUGAAGGCCUUCGGGUUGUAAACUGCUUUUGUACGGAACGAAAAGGCUCUGGCUAAUACCUGGGGCACAUGACGGUACCGUAAGAAUAAGCACCGGCUAACUACGUG